rnacentral:lncRNA from 1 species
GACGGCUAGGGAUCAGCAUUCGUGGAUAGUUAUGUUCAUGGGGCACUGGAGUUACGUGGGUUUGGUUGACCGACAUGGAACAGGCAAAGUAAAUUAACAAUCCGAGCAUUCCAAGGUCCUUAGGUACUGGAAACACAGGAACUUGCUGGCUGGAGGGCGAGAGUGGUCAUGGUUACAUUAAUGAACUUAGUUAUCAGACAAUUAUUUAUUGAGAUUGUUGGAUAGUAUUUACAGUAUGAUACAUUAAUGCUUCCGCUGAACUUAUGGCUUUUGAACAACUUAUGUUUG